AUUGAACGCUGGCGGCCUGCCUUACACAUGCAAGUCGAACGGCAGCAUGGAAGAGCUUGCUCUUCUGAUGGCGAGUGGCGAACGGGUGAGUAAAGCAUCGGAACGUACCGUGUAAUGGGGGAUAACGUAGCGAAAGUUACGCUAAUACCGCAUACGACCUGAGGGUGAAAGCAGGGGAUCGCAAGACCUUGCGUUAUACGAGCGGCCGAUGUCAGAUUAGCUAGUUGGUAGGGUAAAGGCCUACCAAGGCGACGAUCUGUAGCGGGUCUGAGAGGAUGAUCCGCCACACUGGGACUGAGACACGGCCCAGACUCCUACGGGAGGCAGCAGUGGGGAAUUUUGGACAAUGGGGGCAACCCUGAUCCAGCCAUGCCGCGUGAGUGAAGAAGGCCUUCGGGUUGUAAAGCUCUUUCGGCCGGGAAGAAAUCGCACAGGCUAAUACUCUGUGUGGAUGACGGUACCGGCAUAAGAAGCACCGGCUAACUACGUGCCAGCCGCCGCAGUAA
rnacentral:rRNA from 1 species